AGGGGUACUGUUCCUCUCAUUAAUGGUGAAGAGAUAUUUUAUGUUGUUAUGAUGAUAAUAGGCGUCAGUAGGAGCAUCAUCACCCUACGAACGGCUGUCAGAAACCAUGAUAGGUGAUGCGACUGUCAUAGAUUGUGGGAAGUGACUUGCUGUCUCUUCAUCUUGUCUUCUCACUCUGCAGGUGAUGGGAUGUGGGUCAUGACUGUUUGUUGUGAUAGCGUGUAAGACUCGCUUUACUUUAAUUGAUGAUCCGGACGAUUAUAUCCGGAUGACACAUGCUGAUUAUCCGGAUGUAUUGUGGAGCGGAUGCAUUAUGAAGGUUGUCCGGGUUCCCAUGCUCUACCAGCGUCGUUUGCUCUUCCUUGGAUAGGAGAAGCUGAAACGUCAUUUGCCUUUCCUUGAGGUGGUCCGGAUAGGGGAACUGCGUCAUGCGUAUCCUUAGGGGAAUCCGGAUGAUGAUGGUCCGGCUGAUAACACGUGCCACGUGUCAUUGUGAGAUGCGUGCCAUGUGUUUCCUAGAGGGAGGGGUCCCUACAAUAUGCUACUCUCAUUAAGGAAUGGCUAUGACAAGUUUGAGGGGACUUAUUUAAUAUCCUCCAAUAUUUCAAAUAUGAGUAACACCAAUGUAAAUAAACUUUUAAAAAUCUUUUGAUGGUGGAAUAAUUAAUUUUGUUAACUCACAUAAGCAAUUCUUGUGUGUUGGAUGAAAGAAUAAGGCCCUAAAAAAAUAGGAAAGAUCACAACAAAUAUUCCUUAGAAUUUCAAACUAGGCAAAUGACCUUGUUAUGGUAAGCGUGGAGCGAAGAACAAGGUAGUAAAAGAAAUAGGGAAAGAUCACAUCAAAUGGGUGUGUCAUCAAUUUCUUAUGAGGCAUAUUCAUAAGAAUUUCUAACUAACUAGAUGGGUAUAAGCGUAGCAUUUCCUUGUAGGUUACAUCCUUUAAUCCUUCCUUUCAUAGUCUUUGUGUUUUGGGUCUCUUUGUACUAUUUUUAUUUUGAAGUUAAACAUUUAGAAUCCCUAUUAAUCUUCUUGGCUCUAAUAUGUUAAGACAUUCUUUACCUUAAAUUUGGAACCAAUUUCUUGUCAAUAGAAGCUUUAAUGUCAUGGAUGAAUUCAUUUUUUUCUUAUAUUUCUUGUCUUUAGGUCUAUAAUUGGUCAGACUAUGUCAAAAUUAUUUAUAUUUUUAUAUUUCUAUAAUUAAUCUAAAAACUAAAAAGAUAAAAUAAAGAAAAAAAAAACAAUUGAAGUUUGAUUGGAAGAAUGAGAAAGAAGAUUUUUUAUUUUUUAUUUGCUUCAAUAUGAAAUUCAAGGCAAGUUCUUUACAUAUUAUUUAUUUUUGAAAUUCUUUUCUUGUUCUUUAAAAAUAGAUCAAUAGGGAAAUUUGUUUUUUGGUAAAAAUAUUAUAUUAGUGACUUGUACUUGAGUUUAAGAAAAAAAAAAUUUGAUAUUUGAGUUUCAUUUUUGAUGGCAUGUAAUAAAAAAAAUUAAAUAAUAUAUACAAUGGAAUUAGCUUUGAAUAUUAAAUUAUACUGAAUAGGGGAUUUAAUAAAAUUUAAAGGGAAUUUGGUCCUUGAAUUAACAACUUGGCGAUUGCAUUGGAGGGAGAUAAAGUUUCUUUUUAUGGCUGCAAUGUCCAUGUAUAUGGUUGUCGGAAAGAAAUAAUAAAGUAAUAAUGAGAUUUGAGUUGUGGGGUAGGAGGAUAAGUAAUAGCAAACUAUUUAAUUGGCUUUAUCUAUUUAGUUAUUUAUUUAUUUAUUUUUAUGUUGUGUGAUUUGUGGAAAAGUGCCUACUGGGGUUCUUUUCCCUUAAUAAGAACCUUUUAAUUAUUCUUUUAAUUCUUCAUUAUGAAAGAAAAAUUCAAAAAAACAUUUGACAAAAUUUUAUUAAAUUUGGACUUGUGUUUUUCCUUGUUCUUUUAAUUUUAAAGUUUUUAUUCUCCAUUUUCACCCUUUAAUUUUUUUUGGACAUUAAUACAAGUGACAAUUAUAUCUAAAAGUAAGAUUUUUUUUUUUCCUUUUACCCCAAACAUUCUUUUGACAUUUGGGUAAGAUAUUUUUUAUACUUUUCCAUUGCAAUUUGUUAUUAGAGUAAGCAAACAUUUUUCUAUAAACAACAAUAUAAUUUUUUUAACCUUUGCUUUCUUUUCCUCUAUUUGGUUAACAUGCAUUUAUAGUUUAACUUAAAAUUUAAGUCAAAAGAUGACAAAGCAUACCUAAAAUAAGUCCAUGCAUGAUAUGGGGAAACUUGAUGAAUGAAAUAAAAUGAAUAUGGAAGAAUUAUAUAGUUAAGGGCAUAAAAUUAGUACCUUUUUGGUUUAACAUUAUUCAUGCAGAAAGUAUUUAGAUUCCAAACUGAUGAUCAUACGAUAUCAAAGACUCUCUCAGGCUCUAUGUACAAAGUAAGAAAUAUGUGAAUGAAUGUAUUAAGAAAUUAUCUAACUCAUGAAUUUGAUAUAAUCCUUUUCUAUUUCUUUGACCAUUCUUUGAUUUUUUAUGGUAUCAAUUUAAUUUAUUUACUAUUUUCCUCUCUCAUGUUGCCAAUACUAACCUAAUGUGUGAAUCACUAUUAUUGUAUUUGAGACAUUGAAGGAGACUAAUAUUAAUUAAUUGUACAAGGUCGAUAUAUGAUAAAAAUAGAAAAAAAUUAUUAUGACUGAUUAUGUAGGCGUGGUUUAUGAUGAAAACAAGAAAGGAUUAUCACGUUUGAUGCGAUCCCAAAUUGUAACACCACUAGAUUGUGUGAUUGAAACAUCACUAGAUUGUAAGAUUGAGAAACCAUGAGAUUGUGAGAUUGAAACACCAUUUAAUUAAUUCCGAUUCUCUUCUCAAGUAUUUCUCAAAAUGAUCUUAAAUUCAACAUGUUCUCAUCUCAUUCAAUGAUAAUUAAUUAGAUGCAUUUCUUUUGAUAAUACCAAGUUGUUGGCCAAUAUCCCAUCUAAAACUUAAUUUAAUUUUACAUUUUCAGUUAUAAUUAAUGUUGUUAAAUUUCUAUUUCUAAUUUUUUAUUAAAUUUUAUUUAAGGAGAAAACUAAUUUGUGACAUUCCACCUCAUAUUUAUACCAAAGUACAAAAAUAAAUAAUUUUGUUAAAUCUUAUUUUUUAUUAUCAUAUAUAUACUAAAAUUUGAGAGAAAUAUUACCCAUACUAAAAUUUGAGACUAAUAUCACCCUUGUAACAUUUAUAAAUUUAACAUUUAAUUUUUAUUCUAGAGGUGCCUUUUUAAAAAUGGAAGGUUAAUUUUGAUCACAUAUGGGUUCCAUCUCUUGGAUUUGGUUCAUGUACUUUAAUUUAAUUUAAUUUGUUAAGCUAAUAACCCAUUAUUAUUAAAUAAAGAUAUCAAUUUCCUUUUUCUUUCUAGCCUCUCUUUGCAUCCACAUUUUUAAAAGUCGCAAAUAAUCAAUAUAUCUUACUUAAUUAAUAAAUAUAGAGUGAUAAGUUUCACGAGUAAGUUCUUAUUUACUUUUUAUGUCUUCUCAAAAUAGAGAAAGUAAAUAAUACAACCCUCUACUUGUAUCCCAACCAAUUAGAUAUUUUAUUUGUUAAGCUAAUAAAAGUAUAUAAGAAGUAUUGAGUUUAAUCUAUUCCUAUUUUAUCUUACUUUUUGGAAUCAUAAAAAAAAUAAUAUUUGUGAAAAAAAAAUUCUUAAACCUUAUAGGUUAUUUAUCUUAUAUAUACGAGAAUAGAGAAAACCACACUAAACUUUGAUGAAACUUUUAUAGAUUCAAUAUUUAAUUUUAAUUUUAUAGAUGUUUCUUAAUGGAAGUUUAAUUUUGAUCAUAAAUAGAUUACACCGCUCUAAUUUGGUUUACCUACUUUAAUUUUGUUAAGCUAAUAACACUUUUUUAUUGAAUAAAACAUAUCAAUUUAUACUUUAUCUCUUUUCUCUCUUUGUAGUCCAUUUUUGUAUUUGAAAUGUUAUGAGUAAUAAUUCUUAAAAACAACUUCUUAUCUACUUUUUUUUCUCCACAAAAUAAAGAUCCACUCAAAUAAGAUGACAUGAAUCCUAAUAAAUGAAAUAUUUAAAAAUUAAAAUUAGUAAAAAAUAAAAUAAAAUAAAAUAAAUUAAAAAUAAACUUUUAAUGACUUAAAUUUUCUUUAGUUAUACAUGUUUUAUUUUAACCAUUUUUCUAUUAAGGAAUGCUUUUGAAAAAUGACAAUUUUAUAUGCAUAAUCACUUUUACCAUCAUUAAAAGUGGUUGUAAAAAUGAUGAUAAGAUGAGCAUUUUCCUUUGAAAAAUUUACUUUUUUAAUGUUCUAGCAUAGGAUACUUUCAAAUUCAUUUAAUUAUUUUUUUUUACUUAUAUUCAUAGUUUUUUUGAAUUAAUUUCGGUUUUUGUAAUAAAAAAUUAUUGCAACAUAAAUUUAUGAUUAUGAAUUAGAUAAAUUGACCAAAAGAAAAUAAUUGAAAAUAUUUGACCUAAGAUAGUUAGAAAAUUGUUUGACACAAAUCAUAAGGAAAAGGAAAAUAUAAGAAAGUUUGAUAUACAGGAUAACUAAGUAUAAAAUUAAGUUUUGCUCAUUUUUCUAAAUACAAAUAUACUAUUUUUUUUUCCCUUAGUAAUUUAGUGGAACAAAAUAUAGAGUAAGUUGUGCAUUAUUCUCCAAUAAUUCAGUUUUCUUUUGCUCAAUUUUUCCAUGAACAUCUAAGCAAGAAAUAAAUAUUAUAAAUUUUAUAUAUUUUUUUCUUUAUAUAAUUUUCCUUUCUAUUUUCUUUAUCUUGUAGUUUACUAAACUUUAAUUUUGAUUCUCAUGUUUCCUGAUAUGCACAUUUUAAAUUGUUUUUUUUUCCUUUUUCGUUUUUAAGUAUGAAGUCCUCUUUGUUUUACUUAAUUAAAUUUUAUAACCUAUUACAAUUGGAAAAUAAUCGAAACAAAAACUUAAAAUUAUUGCUAGCCUAACUCAAUAGUAUAUAAGAAGCAAUCCUAAGAAAAUUCUACUUUGAUGAUCAUGUGACAUGGAUGAUGUUCAUGUUAUGUGAAGUAUUCUAUAGACUCUAUACCCUUUCAAAAACACGAACUUGUGAUUGCAUCAUCUUAUAAGAAAUUAUGAAGUUACAAGUUUCAUGUCAUUCCUCACCAUUUCUUCAACUUGCAUGAUCUUUCAAUCUACUUGUUGAGUUUUUUCUAAUCUUAGAAUGUGUUAGUACAAUAAAAAAGGGGGAUAGUCAUAUGGCUUUAGUAGGGACUAGAGAAAACUACAACUAAAGGGUGUGUAUGGUUAUGCUUGCAAUAAGCCUGAUAUGGCCACAAUGGGCUAAGCUCCAAAAAUAGGGUCCAUAUAUAAGCACCAAUUCUUAUUUAUGUAGUCUCAUGUUAAGUAUAUAAAUAGGGUCUCCUAGAUUUAGGAAAAAGUAAGAUGGAAAUCAAUGACUAAAAUCAAAUCCAUAAAAAAUGGUUAGUGCUCAUGAGAUGAUGAAUUAAAAGCCAAAAAUUAGACAUUCAUUAAAUAGGAUUAAAAGAAAGGCUAGAACUCAAUAAAAAUAAGUGAAGAGAUCUAAGUAGUAUGAGUACCCAAGGACAAAUUUUGAGGUCAACACUAGGCUUAUAUAUACUCUAGCCAUAUAAAAUGCUUGAUAACUUUCCUUGUCUAAGGGCAACUACAAAAGAUUGGGUUGUAGUCACUAUAGAUACAUCCAAAGGACUAAUUACUAAAAAAUAUUUAAUCAAGUUGAAAUUGUCUCCAAUACUUAAGAAUGAUCAUGUGAUGCUAAUGACAUGGUCAUGUGCUUGUAAGAGUGUGCAUAAAUGCUCAUACUUAUUUGUGUUCCAAUUAAGUAACAAGUUGUGAUUGUACAUCAUAAGAAAUCAUCGACUCACUAAUUUGAUAUGGAAGGGACCAAUAUCAAAUAAUACGAUGCCCACUUAUCCAAUCAUAUAUAUAUAGAAGUUGAAGACUGAUAUUCUUAACAAAUUUGAAGAUAUCUCAUCUCCUUUGCCUAUUCUGCAAAGACGAAUGAAGAGAAGAUUGUGCAUACAUCCCUUUAAUCAAAGGUGAGACUCGCUUUCUUAAGUGAAAAUUUGUAAUUUUUAAAAAUUAGAGAACAUGGACUCACAAAGGCAUUAAUAUUCCUACAAAGCAUGUAUACAACUUUUAGAUAUAUAUAUAUAUAUAUAUAUAUAUAUAUAUAUAUAUAAAAUGUAAAAAACAAGGGUUAUAACAAAGCAUAUAAACAACUAAUCAAAAUACUUGUAUAUAUUUACAUUCUUCAUUAAUACAAAUCAUGGUCUAACAACAUUCUUUCAAAAUAUUUUCAAGUUUCAGUUCAUUCUUCACAAGUCCAAUUGAGGUAGUAUUGAACUAAGUAAUAGCAGCUCGAGAUCAAUGCAUAUCUCUUUGACCUGUGCAUCUAGAGUGGUUAUCCUUUGAUCCAAGGAUUGAAAUUCUCCUUAAUGUUAUUGCCUCAGGCAUCAAUAUAGGAGAAUAGGGUGUACAUCUGGGAUUGACGACAAGGAUUUGAAAAUGCUAGCUUUGAAUUCUUAAUUGAGGUAGGUGUCCCACUAGUAUUGCCCUUGGUCUACUGAGCACCUUGUAUAGUCUCCACAGCCGCCAUUCUCUCAAUCUCCUCUGUUGAUACCUCGCGUCUUUGAUGAUCCACGUAGUUGCCAGAUGGAUGGACGCGUGAUCUCAACCCAUAAAGGUUCUUGAUCCAGCCAUUAUACCUGCAAGAAGGCAUCCGGACAGGGUGUCCGGACGCACCCUCCGAUGGUCUUGUUAGCCAUGGUAAGAGAGAGAGAGAGAUAAAUCAGUUGGCCUUUUACGAGGUAUCAGGAGGUUACCAGGGGAUCCCCUUCUUCUUUGUGUGAAGGCUUAUAUAUAUAGCUUCAGGGGAACUAUUCCUCUUAUUAAUGGUGAGGAGAUAUUUUAUGUUGUUAUGAUGAUAAUAGGCGUCAGUAGGAGCAUCAUCACUCUACGAACGGCUGUCAGAAACCAUGGUAGGUGAUGCGGCUGUCAGAGAUCGUGGGAAGUGAUCAUGUAGAAUGAUCGUGGGAAGUGACUUGCUGUCACUUCAUCUUGUCUUCUCACUCUGCAGGUGAUGGGAUGUGGG
rnacentral:lncRNA from 1 species